rnacentral:rRNA from 1 species
CCUACGGGGAGGGCAGCAGUGAGGGAAUCUUGCGCAAUGGGGGGAAACCCUGACGCAGCAAUGCCGCGUGAGUGAAGAAGGCCUUCGGGUCGUAAAAGCUCUGUCAGGCGGGAAGAAUAGCUUGAGGGUGAAUAACCUUCAGGUGUGACGGUACCAACAAAGGAAGCCCCGGCUAACUCCGUGCCAGCAGCCGCGGUAAUACGGGGGGGGCAAGCGUUGUUCGGAAUUACUGGGCGUAAAGGGCGUGUAGGCGGCUUGGCAAGUCAGUUGUGAAAUCCCCAGGCUCAACUUGGGAACUGCAACUGAAACUGCCCGGCUAGAGUUCAGGAGAGGAGGGCGGAACUCCUAGUGUAGCGGUGAAAUGCGUAGAUAUUAGGAGGAACACCUGUGGCGAAGGCGGCUCUCUGGACUGAAACUGACGCUGAGGCGCGAAAGCUAGGGGAGCAAACGGGAUUAGAUACCCCGGUAGUCCUAGCCGUAAACUAUGGACAUUGGGUGUUGGAGGUAUUGAGUCCUCCAGUGCCGAAGUUAACACAUUAAAUGUCCCGCCUGGGGAGUACGGUCGCAAGACUGAAACUCAAAGGAAUUGACG